rnacentral:rRNA from 1 species
CAGCAGCCGCGGGAAUACGGAGGAUCCAAGCGUUAUCCGGAAUCAUUGGGUUUAAAGUGUCCGUAGGCGGUCUUGUAAGUCAGUGGUGAAAGCCCAUCGCUCAACGGUGGAACGGCCAUUGAUACUGCAGGACUUGAAUUAUUGGGAAGUAACUAGAAUAUGUAGUGUAGCGGUGAAAUGCUUAGAGAUUACAUGGAAUACCAAUUGCGAAGGCAGGUUACUACCAAUUGAUUGACGCUGAUGGACGAAAGCGUGGGUAGCGAACAGGAUUAGAUACCCCCGUAGUCCCUGUCUCUUAUAC